ensembl:lncRNA
UGAAGGUUCAGAAUAAACAUUUAUGGAUGCCUUUGGCAUUGAGCUUUUUUAUAUUCAUAAUUAUAUUUCUGUAAGAAAAAAAAAAGAAGAGAAACCUACCUCUUAUAAAGUACAAUACAUUACACACUGUAUAAUUAGUACAUACAUCAAAUAAAAAAAAUUGUGGCUAGUUUGUAUCCAUAGUGGUCCUAAAAUGCUUUUCAUAAGACUACAGAAUGAGUGUAAGAUGAUCUGGCUUCGUAGUGUACUUCCACAUAAAAUAAGGAACCAUACUGGAGUGUGCUAAACUAAUUUCUAUUUGACUGUCUGAUAUGUCUGGGUCCUGUGGGUCGCUCCUGCGCAUUAAUCAAAUUUACCCUAGAGAGGAAAAUACAUAACCGCAGAUAUGCUUCUGUGGGUUCAACCAUAAAUCCAUUUGCUGUAAUAAGAGUCAGACCUGUUUCAGCUCCAUAUACAAUUGUGAGAUUAACCCUUCAUACAAUGGUAUUAAAGACACAUUUAUGAUCAUUCUUUAAAUAGCACCAAGCUGUUGAAGUAGAACAAUUGCUUAUCUGUUUUUCACUUUUCUUUUCUUUUCUUUUCUUCUUCCUUGGCAUGAAACCGAAUCCAGAAGAAUAGAGCAUAUAGUCUGGACCCCACUAGUUAAUUGUAAUGCACAGAGACUCCCUCACUCCCUCAUCUGUUCAGCAGAAGUUCUGCACCAUCACAUCUCUAUGUCCUCUCCUCAGAUAACACUUGAACAGGUAAUGAAGCAACACCCAGCCACCACCCUGAGACCAUUUCCAAAGCACUGCUUGGAAUUGAAAAAGCUGUGAAAUCAGAAGAGCAGGGUUGGGAGGGUUACUUUAAAAAUGUGUUCCAUUACAGUUACAAAUUACAUCAUAAAAAUAAUCAGUAACAAUCCAAGUAUCACAAUAUGAAAGUAAUGUAAUCUGGAUCAAGAGAGAGAAUCCAGGGAGACAGAUGCACAUGCAGAACUUUUUCAGACAACAGACCAGGGAAACAGACUCAAGGAAUAGGAAACCAGGCCAACCAGAAACCCCCAAAACUAUGGGACUAUGGAGCAGAGCAAUGUCCUCAGCAGAACACAUAGAAGGUGUCAUAUCCUCAGCAAGAGAGGGAAACAGAGUGAGGAACCCGGAAGGGUGAAGGGGCAGCGUGGGAUGGUAGUGGAGAGUCUCCAGCUCUGAGCACAAACCCUCUCCUAGUCAAGUCUAUUGAGAUGUCUCUCCUGUUGCCGAAGGGACUCUUAAGGUAUCCCCACUUCACCUCUAGAGCCAACAUCCACUCCCAACAGAGAGUGGAAGUUCUUCUGCAUCCAUGUGUGGCUGGAGCGUUCGGUCAUGUGAAGAGUCCAGGGAGAUGGCAGAACGUCUUUAUUGCAGACAACACACCAGGGAAACAGUCAAGGAAUAAGGAACACAAGGGAACCAGGACAACCAGAAACUCAGAAAACCGGGGGGAACAAAACAAAACUAGAAGACAUUAAAUAUAAACAAACAGUGCAUAAACCAAGCAAUAACAAAUGUGAGGAACUCAAAACCACAAACAUAACCGACUUGACCCAAUGCGCCAGCAACUGAGGAGAAAAACCGGGGAACUUAAACAGAGCAC